rnacentral:rRNA from 1 species
CCCUUAGAUGUCCUGGGCUGCACGCGCGCUACACUGAUGCGCUCAACGAGUUUUAACCUUGCCUGGAAAGGUUGGGUAAUCUUUUUAAAACGCAUCGUGAUGGGGAUAGAUUAUUGCAAUUAUUAAUCUUCAACGAGGAAUUCCUAGUAAGCGCGAGUCAUCAGCUCGUGCUGAUUACGUCCCUGCCCUUUGUACACACCGCCCGUCGCUCCUACCGAUUGGAUGGUUUAGCGAGAACUUUGGACCGGAGCUCGGGUGGUCAGCAAUGGCCGCCCGAGACAUACUGGGAAAUCGCUCCAGCUUGAUCAUCUAGAGGAAGUAAAAGUCGUAACA